rnacentral:lncRNA from 1 species
CUGACCUUGAACUUGUUAUCCUCCUGCCUCAGCCUCCCAAGUCACUGGGAUUAUAGAUCUGAGUCACCAACCCCAGCUUGAUUUAAAAAAUUAACAGAAAACUUGAAUAGACAUUUCUCCAGAGAAGAUAAAAAAUGGCCAACAAACAUAUGAAAAGAUGUUCAACAUCACUAACUAUUAAGGAAAUGCACAUCAAACCCACAAUGAGAUAUCACCUCACAUCCAUUAGGAUCACUGUGAUACUAUCAAAAAUCAAAAAAUAGCUCAGGGGAAGAAUGCUUGCCUAGCAUGUACAAGACUGUGAGUUUGAUCUCCAGCACUGCAAUAAAUAUCAACAACAAAAAAAUAUAAAAUGACAAGUGUUGGUGAGGCUGUAGAGAAAUUGGAUCCCUUGUGCACUGUUGUUAGGAAUGUAAAUGCCACUGUGGAAAACAGUAAUGUUUUCUCUCAAAAAAAAUUUAACAGAGGGGCUGGGGGUGUGGUUCAGAGGUGGAGCGCUUGCCUAGCAUUCAAGAGGCACUGGAUUAGAUCCUCAGCACCACAUGAAAAUAAAGAUAUUGUGUUCAUCUAUAACUAAAAAAAAAUAUUUAAAAAAAGUCAACAGAGUAUUACAGUGUAAUUCAGCCAUUCCACUUCUGGAUAUAUACCCAAAACAAUUGAAAGCAGGAUCUUCUGCAGAUAUCUGUAUGUGAUAUCCAAAAGCUGGAAGCAGCCCAAGUGUCUGGUUUUUUGGUUUUAUUUUUGGCUAAUAGGGCUUGAAACUAUUGACACUCUCCACUGAGCCACAUCCCCAGCACUAUUUUAAUUUUUUAAACUUUGAGACAAGAUCUCACUAAGUUGGUGAGACUGGACUUGAACUUGGAGAAUCCUUCUGCGUCAGCCUCCGGAGUCUUUGGGACCGUAGUUGUGCACUGCCCCACUUGGCCCAAGUGUCUAUCAGUGGAUAAAGGAAUAAACAAGAUGUGACAUAUAUGAACAAUGGAAUCUAUAUCAGCCUUCUUAAAUGAAAGGAAAUUCUGGUAUAUGCUAUAACAUGGGUGAAUAUGGAGGACACUGUGCUCAGGGAAUCAGCCAAUAACUGAAGGACAAAUGCCAUUAGAUUCCACUCUUCAAAGUACCAAGAAGUCAAUAGUCAAAUUCAUAGACAGAUUAUAGGAUGGAUAUAGGAUGGUGGUUGCUAGGAGUGGUGAUGGGGAGGGAGAAAUAGAAUGGGGAUUUCUUGUUUCAUGGGUAUAGAGUUGUAGCUUUGCAAGAGGAAAAAAGUUCAGGAGAUGGAUGGCGGUGAUGGUGCCUAGCGUGAGUGCAUGGAAUAUCACUGAACUGUUCACUGAAAAAUGGUUAAGAUGGUAACUAAUAUGUGCAUUUUACUGCCAACAAUAAAAAACAGCCCAGUGCGGCAGCACACGCUGCUUGGGAGGCUGAGGCAGGAGGAUCUCAAGUUCCGAUCCAGCCUCAGCAACUGUAGCAAGGCUCUAAGCAACUCAGUGAGACCCUGUCUCAAAAUAAAAAUAAAAUGAGCUGGGAAUGUGGCUCAGUGUUCAAGUGCCUCUGGGUUCAAUCCCUAAUACCAAAUAAAUAAAUAAAUAAAUAUUAAAAACCAAGACCUGGCAAUUAAAAACAUAAUCUUUGUUGUUAUCUUUUCUAUCGGAUAGAAAUUAUUUCUAUCUUCAUUGGGCAAGAUCUGCAAAUAAAUAUGUAACUUCAUAGAAUCUGGGUCCUUAUGAGUAAAUAGCCAAAUCACAGGGAGAUAGAUUCCCUGAGGUAAUUAAGCAACCACUGGGUAGGAUUGUGAAACAAUGCCCAGGACGAGGCUGGCAGAACAUGCUGUACUCUGUUAGCCUUAUUACCAAGAUUUGGAUUAUUAGUAUUGUUUUUUAGUAUCAUAGUCAUUUAUGUCUGUGUUUUUCCACUGACUCUCUUGAGGACGGUGACUAUGUCUUGUUCAUCUUAGCCUCCUCACCGUGUGCUCUGGCCAGUUGAACUUCAAGACUGAGCACCAUGGCCUAGUGGGCUGGGAACAGUAGACCUGCAUUGUCAUUGUUUCUGUGACCUUGAUCAGAUCUGUGAUUUCCUGGAGCUAUGCUACACUCACCCAUCAAAGGAUGAGCUUACUGGGUGCAGUACUGGGCCCUGGGGUGCUGUCUGAUCUCUGGGUUUUCUUCCAGGUCUACAGAGUUUGGAUUCUGAUUUGGUCUAAUCAUUCACACCUAAAAGGAGUUAACUUCACACAGACACCUAAACCAGAUGGAUAAUGACUAAGUAAAGAGCUUGUUUUGGGUUUGUGCAACACCCAGAGGCAUUUUUUUUUCUUGCUUUUCUUGGAAGAAGCAUCCUAGAUGUUAUCUAAGCCUGUGACCCUGGCUCCUGGGCUAGGACACUGUAGGAUGAGGACGUGUGAUUUUGUAACCUAGCUAGAGAAGAAACAGCUGUUUCCUGGUGGCAGGACUGUCUCCUCUCAGAAGCUGGGGGCCCUGGGUAAGCAGGCCCUGGAGGAGACAGAGCUGGCGUCUGAGCCUGCCCUUGAGGAAGGAGCAAAUUACCGUCUAAUUAAGAAUUCAUGAGACUCUUGUCGCUGUUUUCAAUUAAUUUCUUGACAAAUUCUGGCUGUCCCUCUUGUUUUUCUUAGGACAGGAGGAGUCCUGGCGAUCCAGUCAUGAGCUCUGGGGAGCUCUUGCUGAAAUUAAUUUGAGUGCUUUGGAAUGAGAUUUACACAGCAGAGAGGAGCCGGCUGGGGCUACUCCUCUUGGCAGGCGCUCCCAGGGCAUUGGAGAUGUUGUCACUUCUUUUCCCAUGAUGUGCAGUGUCCUCAAAGGCCUUAGGAGCUAUGUCCUGCCUUAACCCAGCCUGCCCCCAUGUCCCUUGUGCCCCUGCCAUGGAGGUCCUUCUACUUCUCUUGGCCUUGGCUCUCACAGGCUGACCAGCAAAUCCAUCCUCUGGCCCCCGCCCAGCCCAGCUUGGGCUCCAACUUGCAAGCACUGAUGGGGCCUUCAGGUAUCCGCUGCCUGCAUCAGGAGGUGAGUCCCAGACUCCUGCCUGUCAGCUCGCCUUCAUCAUGGCCACAGGUGGGACUGGAGACUUGAUGCUGGGACCCACAGGUCUCUGGUGUUUUUUUCUCCAUCCCCCAUCCUUGGGUUGGAAGAUGGUGAGGGGGAGCUGCCCAAAUGAAGCAUAUCCUUGGUUCCUUGGGGCUGCCUCACUUCCUCUCUAGAUCCUCAAUCUCCACCCACAGAGAAAACCAAGAAUCUCUUCCCGGCACCAUAUCCAUCUUUCCCUGACUGUUAAGCAUUCCUGCUCUGAAAACAAAAACCACCAUAAAAACAAUGAGUCUGCUUCUUUGUUCAAAGCUUGUCCUAUUUAGGUGAUUUAAGGGGAGGAAUCAGAGCCCCAGAGGAGUUCAAUAAUUUGUCUUAAGUGUACCCGCUAAUAAAGGGCAGAAGAAUGAGAAUCCUAGCUCGGUUCUAAAUGACUGCAGUAUCCAUGUUCUUUCUUACGUUUCCCUUUCCCUCUCUUUUGUAAUUGUUUUUUAAAAAGAUUUAAUUUGCUUUCUAUUAUAAAAGGAGCAUAUGCUCAAACAGAAAAUGUAGAAUUGUGUGAAGAUAAAACAACCCCCCAGUCAUUAGCAAUCCCACCUUGCUAAGAUCAAAUGUUAACGAUUUCUUUUUUUUUUAAUCUUUUUUCUUCCUGUGUGCAGACAUGUGCGUGUUUGCACACACACCAGCAAAGUGGAAUCACAUUUUAUAUUUCCCGACAUCAAUGCAUGAUCUUCAACCCCAUACCUGUUAUCGCUUCAAAGCAGGUUCUGCUCAGCUUCAUCUUUUUCUGCAACUAAUAANUCCUGGUGGCAGGACUGUCUCCUCUCAGAAGCUGGGGGCCCUGGGUAAGCAGGCCCUGGAGGAGACAGAGCUGGCGUCUGAGCCUGCCCUUGAGGAAGGAGCAAAUUACCGUCUAAUUAAGAAUUCAUGAGACUCUUGUCGCUGUUUUCAAUUAAUUUCUUGACAAAUUCUGGCUGUCCCUCUUGUUUUUCUUAGGACAGGAGGAGUCCUGGCGAUCCAGUCAUGAGCUCUGGGGAGCUCUUGCUGAAAUUAAUUUGAGUGCUUUGGAAUGAGAUUUACACAGCAGAGAGGAGCCGGCUGGGGCUACUCCUCUUGGCAGGCGCUCCCAGGGCAUUGGAGAUGUUGUCACUUCUUUUCCCAUGAUGUGCAGUGUCCUCAAAGGCCUUAGGAGCUAUGUCCUGCCUUAACCCAGCCUGCCCCCAUGUCCCUUGUGCCCCUGCCAUGGAGGUCCUUCUACUUCUCUUGGCCUUGGCUCUCACAGGCUGACCAGCAAAUCCAUCCUCUGGCCCCCGCCCAGCCCAGCUUGGGCUCCAACUUGCAAGCACUGAUGGGGCCUUCAGGUAUCCGCUGCCUGCAUCAGGAGGUGAGUCCCAGACUCCUGCCUGUCAGCUCGCCUUCAUCAUGGCCACAGGUGGGACUGGAGACUUGAUGCUGGGACCCACAGGUCUCUGGUGUUUUUUUCUCCAUCCCCCAUCCUUGGGUUGGAAGAUGGUGAGGGGGAGCUGCCCAAAUGAAGCAUAUCCUUGGUUCCUUGGGGCUGCCUCACUUCCUCUCUAGAUCCUCAAUCUCCACCCACAGAGAAAACCAAGAAUCUCUUCCCGGCACCAUAUCCAUCUUUCCCUGACUGUUAAGCAUUCC